GGUAAUUUGUCAUGUUCAAGAGUUAUGGUCUGGUUUACUUUAAAGUUCAGUUAAUCUGGAGUGCUGGUAUUGCCCUAAGAGAUCUGUUUUCGCUUCAGUGGUCUGUUCUAUUCUGGAAAUCUUGAUCCAAUCAAGGCUGGUGGGCCACCAGACGUGGCAUUAAGCCCAUAGCCUGGUUUCAAGUUGAGAUAUCACUUGGAACUUCAGGUCAUCGUCAGGCUCAGGUGUAUAAGUGUGAAAUUAAAUGUGUGUCUCGUGGAUUUCUGUGUAGUAUGUUAAAAUGGGUCAGUCCUCAUCAUUGAACUCUCAGACCCCACUAGCAUGCAUUCUUAAGAAUUUUCAGCUGUUUUAGAAGGUAGCACUUGAUUAUGGAAUUUGAGUUUCCCCUGCUACACUCUGCACCUUGUGUCAGUUGGAGUGGCCCACAUUCAAGGUUAAAUAACCUCCAGAGGGGACUGCAAAUCUCUCCAUGGCCUACAUGGUCCGGAGAAAGCUGUAAGAUUAUAUGGAAGGUGCGAAAAGAGUUUAAGAUGCAGUUUCACAAAGAGGAAUUUCUUCAUAGUGGCAGUUGGCCAUUCCCUCCACCUACAUUCCAAACCUUCCAAACUCCAGUAUGGAAGACUACAUGGGGGAAGCUGUGCCUGCGCCAUCAGCAAGCUUCCAAGCAAUACCUGUUCAAUUAUUUUUUCCUCUUUCUUCCUUGGAUGGGCCCCCAAGGGAGAAAAAAGGAGAAAAAAAAAUCCAGAGCAGAAAAGGGAAAUUUUACUCCAGAAUUUGAGGGGAGGGAAAAAAUCUACUUUUUAAUAAGACAGAAGACUUUCAAACAUCUUUGAUGAAAAGAAGAACUGGAUAGAAUGUCUGAAAUUUAAACACAAGAGAAGAGAAACCUAGAAAUGCAAAUCCAUUUGAGCAAUUCGAAGGGGCUAUGUAAUGAAGUGCUUAACUUUUAAUAAAAGCAAAAGCAAAACAUAGCUGUCUCUUCA
rnacentral:lncRNA from 1 species